rnacentral:rRNA from 1 species
GAUGAACGCUAGCGGCAGGCUUAACACAUGCAAGUCGAGGGGCAGCAUGAGACGGAGAUUCGUCGAAGUCUUGAUGGCGACCGGCGCAAGGGUGCGUAACGCGUGAGCAACUUGCCCGUUUCUGGGGAAUAACCAGUGGAAACGCCGACUAAUACCCCAUAGUAUGCUUUUAAGGCAUCUUUUAAGCAUUAAAGAAUUUCGGAAACGGAUAGGCUCGCGUGACAUUAGCUAGAUGGCGGGGUAACGGCCCACCAUGGCGACGAUGUCUAGGGGUUCUGAGAGGAAGGUCCCCCACACUGGAACUGAGACACGGUCCAGACUCCUACGGGAGGCAGCAGUGAGGAAUAUUGGUCAAUGGUCUGACGACUGAACCAGCCAUGCCGCGUGAAGGUGACGGCCCUAUGGGUCUUAAACUUCUUUUGUAAAGGGAGCAAUAAGGUGUACGUGUACAUCGAUGAGAGUACCUUACGAAUAAGCAUCGGCUAACUCCGUGCCAGCA